rnacentral:rRNA from 1 species
CCCUUAGAUGUUCUGGGCCGCACGCGCGCUACACUGACGAAUGCAACGAGCUUAUAACCUUGGCCGAAAGGUCUGGGUAAUCUCCAAAUUUCGUCGUGAUGGGGAUAGAUUAUUGCAAUUAUUAAUCUUCAACGAGGAAUGCCUAGUAAGCGCAAGUCAUCAGCUUGCGUUGAUUACGUCCCUGCCCUUUGUACACACCGCCCGUCGCUCCUACCGAUUGAAUGGUUUAGUGAGAUUUUUGGACUGGAACUCUCUUGUUCAGCAAUGAACGAGAGGGACUCUGGGAAGCUAUUCUAACUGUAUCAUUUAGAGGAAGUAAAAGUCGUAACA